UGUAAGCGUAUACCAAAGUUGUUGCAGUUAAAACGCUCGUAGUCGGAAUUUGGCAGUUCCGGAUGUGUGCACGUCGUGUGCGCACUUCGCGGGGAUUGCUUUUGUGGUCUUGCGUAGGAUGAGGCACUUUUAUUAGUGAACGUCCUCACGCAACCACUUUUUACUGUGAGAAAAUCAGAGUGCUCAAAGCAGGCAUUUGCCGUGAAUGUAUUAGCAUGGAAUAAUAGAAUAGGACUUGGUUCUAUUUUGUUGGUUUGUUGGGACUGAGUAAUGAUUAAGAGGGACAGUUGGGGGCAUUUGUAUUUCGGUGCUAGAGGUGAAAUUCUUAGAUUACCGAAAGACAAACUCCUGCGAAAGCGUCUGCCAAGGAUGUUUUCAUUGA
rnacentral:rRNA from 1 species